rnacentral:rRNA from 1 species
GACGAACGCUGGCGGCGUGCUUAACACAUGCAAGUCGAACGGGCCCGCCCCUGUUUUUGGGGGUGGGUUGAGUGGCGAACGGGUGAGUAUCACGUGAGUAACCUGCCCCCUGCUCCUGGAUAACUGCUUGAAAGGGCGGCUAAUACGGGGUGUGCCGGCUGGUCCGCAUGGGCCUGGUCGGGAUAGUUUCAUCUUCGGGUGUUUCGGUGGGGGAUGGGCUCGCGGCCUAUCAGCUUGUUGGUGGGGUGAUGGCCCACCAAGGCGGGGACGGGUAGCCGGCCUGAGAGGGUGGGCGGCCACACUGGGACUGAGACACGGCCCAGACUCCUGCGGGAGGCAGCAGUGGGGGGUAUUGCACAAUGGGCGGAAGCCUGAUGCAGCGACGUCGCGUGAGGGAUGGAGGCCUUCGGGUUGUGAACCUCUUUCUCCGGUGGUGAAGGCCCUGUCCGUUGCGGCGGGGUUGACGGUAGCCGGGUAUGAAGCGCCGGCUAACUACGUG